rfam:Galdieria sulphuraria unplaced genomic scaffold scaf_35, whole genome shotgun sequence.
GGAGAGGUGGCCGAGUGGUUGAAGGCUUCUGAUUUGAAAUCAGACGAAUUUUUAUAAAUUCCAUGGGUUCGAAUCCCAUCCUCUCUU